UAUCACGCUGAUACGUAGUACUUCCGCAUUCAGUGAUCUUUGUGCACUGCCACUUCCGGUGGAUCACUCAUCACUCUGGCGAACCUAUGAUGGACGAUUAUAAGUUAACUUAUACUGCAUCCCUGGUAAAUUUACCCAAAAUAACUUUUUCUGACGUACAUCGACUAACUGAACAACACUCCAUCACAGCCCGCUCCAAAGUGGACAAGGGAUACAGUUUCUUUUUCGAGAACUUCAUCUACGACUACGAAGAUUGUUUUCCAAGCUGAUGCAGCCGAACUUCAAGAAACCUCAUGCAGCUGUACAGCAGGCAAGGUUCUGUGCAACCAUCUAGUGGCCUUGUUGUUCCAGAGUGCCCAUUACAGCAUGUUGCAGGUGAGAGCUGUACCACCACCUGUGGCCUGCACAAGCUCUCUGCAAACAUGGCAUCGACCAAGGACAAAGGGGAUCCAUGCAGAGCCGGUUCAGGACUUGGUUGUUAGGAGACCAAAGCCAUCUGCCAGGAGUGUAUGCAAAUCAACACUCUAUCAAGCAUACACAGGAUCCCUCCCAGACCCGCAAGUCUUGUCUCUUGGGGAAGGACUGAAAAACCUCAGGCCGCAACCACCA